UACGUAGGGUGCGAGCGUUGUCCGGAAUUAUUGGGCGUAAAGGGCUCGUAGGCGGUCUGUUGCGUCAGGAGUGAAAACUCGGGGCUUAACCCCGAGCCUGCUUCUGAUACGGGCAGACUAGAGGUAUGCAGGGGAGAACGGAAUUCCUGGUGUAGCGGUGAAAUGCGCAGAUAUCAGGAGGAACACCGGUGGCGAAGGCGGUUCUCUGGAACGGUACUGACGCUGAGACGCGAAAGCGUGGGGAGCGAACAGG
rnacentral:rRNA from 1 species